rnacentral:lncRNA from 1 species
CCUCACAAUAGCGCUGUGUAACUGCGGCUGCAGAGCAUCACGCCACCUCUGCAAGGUCACGUGGUCAGAGCGGAGGAGGCAGGAUCCGAACCCAGCUUUGUACAUGACUCCUGGGAAGCCUACUGAACAUCAUGUGCAUGAGCAUCACAGGUGCAUCCAGGCCACACAAGCAGAAGCCCCUACCAUCAGCCCUGCCAGCUGAGCAGAGAAGAAAGUGGACAAGCAGCCCUCAGGGUCUUCUCAUCGUGUCACCCCAGCAUACAAGCAGUCACAGCCAAGUCACAGCCUCCGUGCUUUGUGGUCCAGAUAUAUGUCCCCCAGAGAGCUGUGCUUCUGGAGGAAAAAUAGUUACCUGAUGUGGUUUGUGGGGGUUCCCCAGAGCUCUCAAUUAGCUGAGCAGGAAAGGGCUCUGAUAAUGUGUUGAGUUUAUUGGAUUGCUUCUGGGAAAAAGGAACAUUUGCCCACAUUGAUUACCAGAGCCCGCUGUUGUUGCACUUGGGGUAGGUC